GUCAAAUGUCAUGGGCCGGUGAAUUUCUUUGAAGAUGGCUACGUUUGAGGUAACUAACAUAGAAUUAGAAAUCCACAGGGAUGGAGCGUAAAUCCAGCCGGGAGUUCUGCCAGGAUUCAAAGCCUCUCAUCUUAGAAAUCUAUUUUGGCAGCAGUAUGCUCCACUCUACACCCUGCCUGCAGCUGAGAAACAAAAAAGGCAAGAACCUCAGCAGGCAGGUCCUUUCCAUGGCAAGCAGCUGAUCAGUGUGGCACAGCAGCGGUCUCACCCCGUGCUUCCCCACCACGUGCAGAGGCGAGCUCAGCUACUUCCUCUCCAUCCUUCAGGUUGAGUGCAGAUGCCGCCUCUUCCAGGAAGGCCGUCCUGCCCAGCCCUGCGGACGCCCUGGCAUCCAUCACAAGCCUUACUGUCUACGUGCAGUUGGAGCGGCUCCACAGCCUUGCCAGGUAGCAACAUUACAGAAGCUUAAGGUCGAUCACGGCCAGUACAAAGAAACGAAAGAUGGAAACACAAAGACUCCAUUAUGUGCUGGCACUCACGCUGUCUCCUGGCAAUCGCUUGUGUGCUGACGUUUGAAUUUACGCUGGUGGUAACAAGAUUGAGAAAUAGCUCAUAGUUCAUCGUUAUAUUUACAACAGAGCUUGUCCCGAGAAUGUGAGUUUCACUUGUCAGAGAAUAUGAUGCCAAGAUGGUGGAAAAUUGGAUGUGAUUUGUUAUAAUUUCACCAAUCAAUGCAGUCGACCCCUUAGGUCACUCUCGUCCUGGUAAUUGAUGACCAAAUGUCUAAUUAGUUUCCUUCCAUAAAUGAAGUUUAUGCUUUGGCAAAAAUGCAGUGUUGUCCAGAACUAAGGUGAAGCUUGGGGGAUGAGAAGAAAGGCUUUCCUGGGGGAGUGUAAGGAUGGUGUGAAGUGCAGAGAUAACAGGUAGAAUAAGGGUGAGGAUGGGCCUAGAAGGGGGUCAAUAGGGAAGACACCUGGGGAAGCUUUCCUCCUGGGCCGCAGAAGAAUGCACACCAGACCUCAGCCUCUGUUUCGUGUUUUCUCCAUGUGUGUAGACG